rnacentral:rRNA from 14 species
GAGGUGUUGGGUUAAGUCCCGCAACGAGCGCAACCCCUGUGAUCAGUUGCCAGCAUUAAGUUGGGGACUCUGGUCAGACUGCCUUCGUAAGGAGUGAGGAAGGAGGGGACGACGUCAAAUCAUCAUGGCCCUUACGUCCAGGGCUACACACGUGCUACAAUGGCCGGUACAACGGGCAGCGACUGCGCAAGUAGAAGCUAAUCCCUAAAAACCGGUCUCAGUUCGGAUCGGGGUCUGCAACUCGACCCCGUGAAGUCGGAAUCGCUAGUAAUCGCGGAUCAGCAAUGCCGCGGUGAAUACGUACCCGGGCCUUGUACACACCGCCCGUCACACCAUGGGAGCUGGUCAUACCCAAUAUCGUUAGUCUAACCAUUCGGGGGACGGCGCUUAAGGUAGGGCUAGUGACUGGGGUGAAGUCGGAACAAGGUAGCCGUACUGGAAGGUGCGGCUGGAU